rnacentral:rRNA from 1 species
UAGGGAAUCUUCGGCAAUGGACGAAAGUCUGACCGAGCAACGCCGCGUGAGUGAAGAAGGUUUUCGGAUCGUAAAACUCUGUUGUUAGAGAAGAACAAGGACGUUAGUAACUGAACGUCCCCUGACGGUAUCUAACCAGAAAGCCACGGCUAACUACGUGCCAGCAGCCGCGGUAAUACGUAGGUGGCAAGCGUUGUCCGGAUUUAUUGGGCGUAAAGCGAGCGCAGGCGGUUUCUUAAGUCUGAUGUGAAAGCCCCCGGCUCAACCGGGGAGGGUCAUUGGAAACUGGGAGACUUGAGUGCAGAAUAGGAGAGUGGAAUUCCAUGUGUAGCGGUGAAAUGCGUAGAUAUAUGGAGGAACACCAGUGGCGAAGGCGGCUCUCUGGUCUGUAACUGACGCUGAGGCUCGAAAGCGUGGGGAGCAAACAGG